CCUACGGGCGGCAGCAGUGGGGAAUAUUGCACAAUGGGGGAAACCCUGAUGCAGCGACGCCGCGUGAGUGAAGAAGUAUUUCGGUACGUAAAGCUCUAUCAGCAGGGAAGAAAAUGUCGGUACCUGACUAAGAAGCCCCGGCUAACUACGUGCCAGCAGCCGCGGUAAUACGUAGGGGGCAAGCGUUAUCCGGAUUUACUGGGUGUAAAGGGAGCGUAGACGGCAGCGCAAGUCUGGAGGGAAAUCCCAUGGCUUAACCAUGGAACUGCUUUGGAAACUGUGCAGCUAGAGUGCAGGAGAGGUAAGCGGAAUUCCUAGUGUAGCGGUGAAAUGCGUAGAUAUUAGGAGGAACACCAGUGGCGAAGGCGGCUUACUGGACUGUAACUGACGUUGAGGCUCGAAAGCGUGGGGAGCAAACAGGAUUAGAUACCCUAGUAGUC
rnacentral:rRNA from 1 species